AGCUGCAGCGUGAAUCACUUUCAAUGUAUUGGUCACGCGUGUUACACCGCACCCGUACCGGUACCCCGCACUUGCAACUCUGUACCGUGCUUGCAGAUCCAUGACAUGGAUAGUAACUAGUCUCACUGCGUUCAAUGUUUCAUAUUGACCUUAGAAAUACUGCUGCACUUUCAACCGCCUCUUUUACGCCCAUUGCCCACACUGCUAUUCAGCUCCUUCUUCUGCAUAGAAUCAAAUGGCAUUCCUUGUGCAAUGACUGUAGCCCACACAACAUACUUUGACCUUUCUUCUUCUCUCUGCUGAGCCUUUGCCGUGACCAUGCUGUUGCAGCACGUAUGCUGUCUGCCUAUAAAAGCUGCUGUUCACAAUUCUCUAGAGGCCAGUUAGAAGUACAGUUAGAAAGGCCAGUUAGAACCUUCAAUAAUGUCAGUUUAGAGUUAGAGUCAGAGUUAAUGUUUACAAUGUAGUCUUCCGUUUAGUUCAGUAAGAAUUAUUAUUAACAGUGUGUUCACUGAGACCCGUCUGCAUUUGCCUCCGAGAGAGACUGCGGUCCGUUACAGAAUUGGUGCCAGCGGUGGGAUCCGUUACAGAAUUGGUGCCAGCGGUGGGAUACGCUACAGAAUUGGUGGCAGCGGUGGGAUACGCUACAGAAUUGGUGGCAGCGGUGGUACAAUUUUAUAAUUGCUAGAUUCGAACCCACCUAGUAUCUGUAUUGCAUUGAUGGCAGCGGCGCCACAGAAUCGAUGGCAGCGGUAAAUUGUUUUAUUGGUGUAACCGGUACCAUCAUGGCCCAACCUGAUGCGUCAGUCGCCGCUACUCCUUCGCCCGCCACGUCUCCCCCUAGCCCGAAAUGAUGACGGACAACGUCUCUACCGAUCAAGCUCCAUGUCCAACGUAAGCUAAUUCCCGAUAUGGCACUUUUCUUUCCUGUCUUCCUUCAGUCUUCCUGUUCUCUUCAGUCUUCCUUUAUGCGAGUGUGUGAAUCCAGUUUAGUUAGGUAGGCGUCCGAUCAUGGUGAGCCACGGUCUAUCUAACUAACCUGGGAUAAUGUGUGUUAGAGUGCCCUUUGUCCAGUUCAGUUUGGAACUGUGAACUAUUUUUAUGGCUCAAACGCCAUGGUGGUACAGCAAGUGUGCUGUGAGUCCUAUUUGGAGGACAAUUUUUUCCCCUUUGGCCCCGUGAGAUCGUGUGAACCUGGAGUGAUGCUAUUUUAUGAUUUUGUUAUCAGUUCAUUUCUUCUGUCUACUCUCAAAGGUUAUCAUUUCCGAUAUUAUUUUGCCAUAUUCCGGUUGACGCUGUACCAGUAUGAUGCGCUAUCUCCUAUAAUGUUCAAUGAAUAUGUUCGCACCACCUCUCAGUCCUGUGAUAUGCUGCUGCGCUCCAGCCAGUACUUCAAUGUCAGUUGUCCUCAUUGCGUCCGGAUAUCAACCGAGGCUGUUCACGAAUACAUACCUGUAUAUGCACGUCAUCCAUUCUGCCUAUCUUCUUCCGUCGAGGUUAUUCCGACGCGACCAUGCAUGCCGCCCGUGUCUUCUAAUCUCAGUCGAUUGUCGGAGUCCGGCUAUAUCAACUAUGUUACUCGCCAAGUCUAGUCUGCGCAUCUACAUGAUCUUCUAUCAUUGUUCGUCACUUCGUCACAAGUAUUCGUGUUCUGCUACUCGGACUCUAAUCACGAGGACGUGAUUCUGUUUAAAGAAGGAAGGUGUAGCGUUGGCACGCUAGUAACUCACACAGCUGCAGCGUGAAUCACUUUCAAUGUAUUGGUCACGCGUGUUACACCGCACCCGUACCCCGCACUUGCAACUCUGUACCGUGCUUGCAGAUCCAUGACAUGGAUAGUAACUAGUCUCACUGCGUUCAAUGUUUCAUAUUGACCUUAGAAAUACUGCUGCACUUUCAACCGCCUCUUUUACGCCCAUUGCCCACACUGCUAUUCAGCUCCUUCUUCUGCAUAGAAUCAAAUGGCAUUCCUUGUGCAAUGACUGUAGCCCACACAACAUACUUUGACCUUUCUUCUUCUCUCUGCUGAGCCUUUGCCGUGACCAUGCUGUUGCAGCACGUAUGCUGUCUGCCUAUAAAAGCUGCUGUUCACAAUUCUCUAGAGGCCAGUUAGAAGUACAGUUAGAAAGGCCAGUUAGAACCUUCAAUAAUGUCAGUUUAGAGUUAGAGUCAGAGUUAAUGUUUACAGUGUAGUCUUCCGUUUAGUUCAGUAAGAAUUAUUAUUAACAGUGUGUUCACUGAGACCCGUCUGCAUUUGCCUCCGAGAGAGACUGCGGUCCGUUACAGAAUUGGUGCCAGCGGUGGGAUCCGUUACAGAAUUGGUGCCAGCGGUGGGAUUCGUUACAUAAUGCCUAAUGCCCAGGCAGCUGACUUUAUUUUCGGAGAAACACUACUCAUUGUAGUAAAAAGUAACAAUGAAUAGCGAUAUCAUCUAGGAAGGAUCGCUACCCUAACGCGAAGGAAAGGCCUUGCGCGGCUGCUCUACGAAGUGUUGAAGAAAGACUCAUCAAAGUUAGUUGGUGGACGAACAACUCGCUGGCGCCGGAAAACUUGGCCCCCAACGAUGGUGUUUGGUGAAUCAUCAAGCAUAAUGUCUUGUAGCAGUGUUCACCGAGGAAGGAGAACGCUCUAGCCGCUGCUGUUGUCCGUUUCAUCCACGUUGGGCGUUAGCUGCACCGCGCCUAUUGUGUUUUAGUAUUCCAUGGACACACAUUAGCAUUCAGAGCGAUUGUGGAGCCACAAUUUACUUCACACAGCGUUGUAUUGUCCACGAGCGCAAACUUCAUUAUCAGCAGUAACUGUUACUCUUCAUCCUACAUGUAGACUUGGAGUAUACACGGCCUUGUCACGACAGCGACAGCUCUACAGAGUGUUCAAGUGAGAAACAUUAAUUUCAAUUGUUGGUGGACGAAUAAAUGGCUGGUUCCGAAAAACGCGGCCUGCACCGACGGUGUUUGGUGGAUCAUCAAACAGGGUGACCAGCAGUGUUCACCGAGGAAGGAGAAUGCACUUGCCACCACUCCGAGUCAUCCAAGUGGGCGUUAGCUGCGCCGCGCCUAUUGUGUUUUAGUAUUCCAUGGACGCACACUAGCGUUCUCAGCGAUUGUGGAGCCACAACAUAUCUUCAUGCGGCGUUGCACUGUCCAAGAGCAGAAACGUCAGCAGUGACCCAUCAUCAUACAUGUAGGUUUGGAGUAUACACACCAUGCGCCAAUGGGCCUUGGCACAACAGCGGCAGCUCUACGAAGUGUUCAAGUGAGAAACAUUUGUUUCGACUUUUGGUGGACGAACAAAUCGUCGGUGCCGAAAAACGUGGCCUGCGCCGAUGGUGCUUGAAACAUCAAGCAUGGUAUGUGGUGACUGUCAGUGUUGAUCGAGGAACUUGGAAGGAGAACACUUAGGCCGUCGACCGUUCAUCCAUUUCGUUAGCUGCACCAAGUCUAUUGUGUCCUUGUAUUCCAUGGGCACACAAUCAUGAAGCAUGGCGUCUGAGCUGUGUUCACAGAGCGGGGAGAUGCUCUUGCUGCUAUCUUAUCCGUCCUGUGUAUUCCCAAGUGCCGAAGGCUCACAACGAUGGUGUUGGACAAGUCAGAUAAAAUAGAGUCAACAUCGUCACACGGUGCUGUGACCAAGAUACGGAUCAUGCCGAACGCUGAUUCAACUGGACGAAGCGCGAGGCUUUUCAGAUGCAGGGACACAAUGGAAACUGAAUGACUUCAGAACAGCACUGAAGCGUUAUGUUAUCAUGCAAGACGCCUUUCUGCGCCGCACAAACACAGGCGGUACUACAGCAGAAGAUGUCACUCACUAUUCUGCAGGUGCACUGGUGACAGGCGCAUGCAAGUUCACCAGAAGGAAGUGGUCUGAUGUUAACUGGAAUGCCAGCAGUAUGAGAGGGUGUGCAUUCUGCGGCGGAUCUCACCUGGACAAGAGCUGCGCGAAAUACACAACAGUAGCACAGCGGAAAGAAUAACUGAUUGAACAGAAGCGUUGCUUUGUGUGUUUGCGCACAGGGCACCGGUCAACUCAGUGCAAGGCCACCCGCAAGUGUAAUGUGUGUUCUCGCAUGGGUCACCAAUCAGAGUCACCAUCAUGUCACGAUCUGCCCUGAAUCUCAACAGAAAUCUGACAGCAGUACCAACAUAGUAGCUGACCAGCCUGUGGCUGACGAGGUACCAGCAUCUAGCGCAACAGCAGCUAGUGCAGCAUCAACCAGUAUCGCCAUUGACCGUAAGAUAGUCAGUCGUCUUGAUCGGUGCAGAUUUCCUCUGGGAGUCUCAGUUGACGUGGAGCACCAGAGGACUUCCGCCAGGACUACAGUUUCUGCCUACCACAGUCGGUUUUGUGGUGACUGGCCGAACACGUCACUCCAAGCACUCAGCUACGCCGAUGAGCAGCCAUGCCAGCUAUCGGUUCUCUAACUGAUGCAACUUCCGACUCCUGCACCAUCCCAGAUCUGUGGGACCUAGACUGUGUUGACAUCCAGGAUUCAGGCAAUCUUACUAACAACGACCUAGCCAUUAGGCAAUUCAUCAUUGUUCUACGAUUUUGCCUGCCACCAAUCGUCAUGACCUGCGAUACUGAGAAGGCCAUUUUACAAAUCAGUGCCAACCCAGCAUACAGAGUUGCGACACGAUUUCUGUGGUUCGCCAACUCCGACAGUCCAUCAGUCACCCCAUCCAGCCUGUUCACGCUCAUAAGCAGUCCAUUUCUGCUUGGCGCGUCUAUACAGCAUCAUUUGGCACAGCAAGAUGACAAAACAGCUAGCAGUGGCUGUUGGUGAGAACAUUUUCUGCUGUGCCAUUGGAGUGUGCACGACUGCACGAUACACGAACCCUGCUCUUUUGUUGGCACCGCCUAUGUAACUUACUGCAUAGGGUGCAAGGUGACCGUUGUCGGUUUACAUGUACUCCAGUUAUUACACCGUGCAUGCACUGAGUCUGUGCUGCACUGUGCAUCCAUAGGUGUUCGUUUGCGGUAGCGCAAGGUGACACGCAAGGUUGAUGGAUUGUUUUGUCCGCUGCUAUUCGAAGCUCUCGGAGUCGGAAGCGUUAGCUCUGUUUCCCCUGUUCCUCCCUGCGCGGAGUCUGUAGUUCUGGCUUGCAGUUGCUGUUACAUGCAUGUUGGCAGUUGCAUGUGUGUUUGGUUUUCAGUUGUCUUUAUUUGUUUUGUGUGGACGACAGUUCAAUAUUCUA